GUUAGCCAUUGUUAGCAGCUAGUUAGCGUCACCUAGAUAACAUCUAUCAACCAAGUCCUGUCUCCAACGCGAAUUAAAGACUACUUGGGUGUAAACGGAAGUGGCUGGGUCCCAGGUAGCCAAAAGGACUUUAAAACCAAGAAGUAAUUGAUAUUCAUGCUCUACGAGGUGAGGCCAAAGGUAAGAUUAGAGCAAUUAUGAUAGAUGUGUGGUAGAAGAGGUGGGACUCAGAACCCAAGGGCUGCCAGCCAUAGAAAGGUCGGUGGACCAAGAUUCAAAUUAGGAAGAAAGAGGUGGUGUUUGCGUUUAGGACAUUGUACAUUGAACUCGUCCUUAUAUCUGGUUGGCAAGCAUGCAAAUGGUUUGUGUACAGAGUGUAUGGUUGAUGAAACAGUGAUCCAUGUGUUGAUGUAAGUACAAGGCUCUUCAUUUUCUUAGUAAUACAGGAUUAGAUGGGAGGGUUUAUUUUCAUGUUUAUUUCUUUCUUUAGUCUAUUAAUUUAGUUGUGAUUGACUACACACUCCGUCCAGUACAGUAUGUGGCGGGAUGUAAUUAACGUUUGAGGACCGCAAUAAUAUUAUAGAAGUAAACGGAAGUCAAGUGGUCAAAAACAAAUUUCACGUUAGUGUUUUUAUUGUUUAGACGUUUAACACCAUAUAACUCAAUAUGACUAAUUGAACUACACCGCAUUACAUACAUGCCUCAGGUAGUGUUUAAUUUGCGUUGGAGACUGUACUUGGUUGAUUUAUGUUAUCUAGGUAACGCUAGCUAGCUGCUUAGAUAACAAUGGCUAAUUGUAUGCUUUUUCACACUCAAAUCGCCUCUGUCAUGGAGGUGCUGGCAAAUGCAGCCGUGGCAGACAUCUGUAAACUCGUAGACGACGACUAUGCAGUGUUUCGUUUGGAAAUAACUCAAAGCCAGAAAGAAAACAGGGCAUUGCGGAGGAAACUACUGGAACUGAAGGUGGCACGGGAGCGCGCAGAGAGAACAAUACGAGAUCGCGUCCUCGCCAGUCGUCCCAAUAGUGUCAAGAUCGUCGACCGAUACAGAGGAAUGGCAAGAGGUGAACAUCUCACUGGAGGCCACAGGAGCUUUGUGAAGCCAGCGGGUCACAAUACAUGGAGCCAUGGCCACCCAAUCACUGUUGAGGGCACAGGAACCUCAACUCAGAACAUUGUCGUAAUAGAGAGCAAUAUUAAUGGCAUCUUUUUGUAUGCACUAACUGAGGCUAACUCCGUCAUGGCUCAUUGGCCAAAGCCUAUGGGGAAAUUAAUGUUUAUUUUUAUAAAUCCCGAAAAUAAGGUCUGGUAAACACAGGCUUAGGAGAUCUUAUGUGUUUUGUUCUCAGUCUCAUCAGCUAACAUUGAAGUUAAGCAGUUAUGUAAUCAAAACAAGUAAAGAUAAUGUGCUAACAUGUAGUUUUUUUUUUUUUUUUUAACUCUACACCUGCCUUUGACGUCUCACUACCUUGUCAGAUGGACCCAAAGUUUUUUCAUUACAUAGUUCUGGAACCGAUAAAACGAUAAACCUUGUAGAGAUAUGGUUGCAGCCUGGAGCAAAACAAUACACCAUCCAUGCAUUUUCGUUCGAUCUGGUAAAGGCCUCCACAGACUGUAUGUAUGAUUUUAGCUGUCUUGUGUGGGCAAAUUCUUAGGUCGUAAACGAUUUAUAGGACGUCUUGGCUUGUUCAGUGUGACGGUCUAGGUCUGCCGAUUAAGUACCACUACGUGCAUUCUUAAGUUUAGAAAUGUUUAACCUUUAUAUUGUGUAGAGUGGGUGGUGUUAAAAGCUGAUCCUGGUGACUGACCCUUAGGUACAAAAUAUAAUAGUUUGAUUUAAGCGUUAACAUGCUUGCAAUAAGAAGGAUUUCCCUAAUCAUUUUCAUGACAUAAAUGAAAUCAGGCUACCUGGUGAGAUUUUUGUGUUUAUCAAAAUAAACAU